rnacentral:rRNA from 1 species
UACGAAGGGGGCUAGCGUUGCUCGGAAUCACUGGGCGUAAAGCGCACGUAGGCGGCUUUUUAAGUCAGGGGUGAAAUCCUGGAGCUCAACUCCAGAACUGCCUUUGAUACUGAGAAGCUUGAGUCCGGGAGAGGUGAGUGGAACUGCGAGUGUAGAGGUGAAAUUCGUAGAUAUUCGCAAGAACACCAGUGGCGAAGGCGGCUCGCUGGCCCGAUACUGACGCUGAGGCACGAAAGCGUGGGGAGCAAACAGG